AUGACGAGCUCCGGCAAGCGAGCCGACGGAUUCCUGAGGCGGUUCCGGCGCCGGCGACUCCUCGCCUUCCUCCGGCGCGAGCACCUCUACGCCACCUUGGACGCGUACGCGAAUCCUUCUCUCCUUUUUCCCUAACUACUUCUACUACUACUACUAGUCGCUGAUUGAAUCGGAUGCAGGCUGGGCGGCGAGACGCGGCUGUUCCUCAACGCGCGGACCCUGCAGACCAUGCUGGCGGACUGCCGGUGGGAGGAGGCGCGGCGGUACGUCGGCCGCUUCCUGCCGCGCCGCCAGAUUGGGGUGGAGGCGCGCGCCGUCCUCAGACUCAUCGCCUACCUCAGCGCCGUCGACGACGUCGCCCAGGGCAGACGUCCGGGGAGCGAAUUCGCCGGCGACCAUCUCGAGAGGGAGUUCGAAGCUGACGCUACUUCCUCCAAUACCAUGGUCUGCGCCGAUUUCGUCCGGAAAAUCUCCCGCAAGCGCUCCUCUUUCCCAGGAAGAUGGGAUUCCGUUGAAUGGCAAUUCCUUAGGAUCCAGGCAGCAUUGAUCGUCAAGGAAUUGGUCAUCAACACUCCGGAGUUCAGUCAUCUGUUGCGGUUGCCACGGUACCCAGUCAAUCCGGAAUGCAUGAUGCCCGUCUGGUUUGGGUGUCGCCGGAAGCAUCAGAGAAAGAUCAUAGGUCGGAUGCCGGCAUCUCUUCUAGCCCACUGUUUUCUUCCAAAGGAGAGGUGUCCUUCACCAAAGAAACAAGGUAUUCCAGGUGCCCCAGUUGUGCCAUGUAUAGGUAGAAAUUGUGGUCUAUUAUCUGCUAAUGCAGUUACAGAGCAUUUGAGUCAGGAAGAUUGUCACUCUGAAAGUGUUGCUAGUACGAAGCAUUCACCUACAACUAGGGAAUUAUGUCCAGUAAGUCGCUCACAUACUUGA
rnacentral:lncRNA from 1 species